UGCUGGGCCUUUCUUCUUGGAUCUGGUAAUGAUAGCAGCUUGGUCUAUUUGGAAGGAGAGGAAUGAAUACAUUUUCAAUCACAAGCCACCUUCACUGAAUGGCUGGAAGAGAAUCUUGAAGACUGAAGUUAAUCUUCAUCUUUUCAGGCUCCCCCAACAUAAAGAUUUUUAGUUAUGGCUUGGUUGAACCAGAUCUGAUCUUUGUAAAUUUCGCCUGUAACUCCUCACUUCCUCCCUACCCCUGUUUCCUUAGGGCAAUCAUAGGUAAGUGUAGAGUUUUUUCUCUUCUCUGUUGAGUUAGCCGCUAGCUAACUCCUGUACCCUCUCUUUUGUCUUAAUAUAUUUCACUGGGGAGCAAGGCACCAUGGUUUUCCUCAAAAAAUACACUAGAAUAAUAUACUAAAAAAUAAUACUAAAAAAUAAUAUUAAAAUAAUAGUACAAACAAUAAUAUAUACAAAACACUAGAAUUAAUAAUAUACUAGAAUAAUAUACUAAAAAUAAUACCAGA
rnacentral:lncRNA from 1 species